rnacentral:rRNA from 1 species
UACGUAGGGGUCUAACGUUGUCCGGAUUUAUUGGGCGUAAAGAGCUCGUAGGCGGUUUGUCGCGUCGGCCGUGAAAUCUCCACGCUUAACGUGGAGCGUGCGGUCGAUACGGGCAGACUUGAGUUCGGUAGGGGAGACUGGAAUUCCUGGUGUAGCGGUGAAAUGCGCAGAUAUCAGGAGGAACACCGGUGGCGAAGGCGGGCCUCUGGGCCGAUACUGACGCUGAGGAGCGAAAGCGUGGGGAGCGAACAGG